rnacentral:rRNA from 1 species
UGGGGAAUUUUGGACAAUGGGCGAAAGCCUGAUCCAGCAAUGCCGCGUGUGUGAAGAAGGCCUUCGGGUUGUAAAGCACUUUUGUCCGGAAAGAAAUCCUUGGCUCUAAUACAGUCGGGGGAUGACGGUACCGGAAGAAUAAGCACCGGCUAACUACGUGCCAGCAGCCGCGGUAAUACGUAGGGUGCAAGCGUUAAUCGGAAUUACUGGGCGUAAAGCGUGCGCAGGCGGUUUGCUAAGACCGAUGUGAAAUCCCCGGGCUCAACCUGGGAACUGCAUUGGUGACUGGGCAGGCUAGAGUAUGGCAGAGGGGGGUAGAAUUCCACGUGUAGCAGUGAAAUGCGUAGAGAUGUGGAGGAAUACCGAUGGCGAAGGCAGCCCCCUGGGCCAAUACUGACGCUCAUGCACGAAAGCGUGGGGAGCAAACAGGAUUAGAUACCCUGGUAGUCCACGCCCUAAACGAUGUCAACUAGUUGUUGGGGAUUCAUUUCCUUAGUAACGUAGCUAACGCGUGAAGUUGACCGCCUGGGGAGUACGGUCGCAAGAUUAAAACUCAAAGGAAUUGACGGGGUCAUAGCUGUUUCCU